GGGUGCGUAACGCGUGAGCAACAUGCCCGUAUGAGGGGGAUAAGCGAUGGAAACGUCGUCUAAUACCCCGUAACACAGGAGAUCGCAUGAUCACCUGUUGAAAGAUUUAUCGCAUACGGAUUGGCUCGCGUGACAUUAGCUAGUCGGCGGGGUAACGGCCCACCGAGGCGACGAUGUCUAGGGGUUCUGAGAGGAAGGUCCCCCACACUGGAACUGAGACACGGUCCAGACUCCUACGGGAGGCAGCAGUGAGGAAUAUUGGUCAAUGGGCGGAAGCCUGAACCAGCCAUGCCGCGUGAAGGAAUAAGGCCCUAUGGGUCGUAAACUUCUUUUGACGGGGAGCAAUAAGGGUCACGUGUGGCCCGAUGAGAGUACUCGUCGAAUAAGCAUCGGCUAACUCCGUGCCAGCAGCCGCGGUAAUACGAAGGAUGCAAGCGUUAUCCGGAUUUAUUGGGUUUAAAGGGUGCGUAGGCGGACGUGUAAGUCAGGGGUGAAAUACCGGGGCUCAACCUCGGAACUGCCUUUGAUACUGCAUGUCUGGAGUUCGGAUGCCGUGGGAGGAAUGGGCAGUGUAGCGGUGAAAUGCAUAGAUAUUGCCCAGAACACCGAUUGCGAAGGCA
rnacentral:rRNA from 1 species